rnacentral:rRNA from 1 species
UACGAAGGGGGCUAGCGUUGUUCGGAAUUACUGGGCGUAAAGGGCGCGUAGGCGGCGCAGCAAGUCAGAUGUGAAAGCCCCGGGCUCAACCUGGGAACAGCAUUUGAGACUGUUGUGCUUGAGUUCCGGAGAGGUGGGUGGAAUUCCCAGUGUAGAGGUGAAAUUCGUAGAUAUUGGGAAGAACACCGGUGGCGAAGGCGGCCCACUGGACGGAUACUGACGCUGAGGCG